rnacentral:rRNA from 1 species
UACGUAGGGGGCGAGCGUUGUCCGGAUUUAUUGGGCGUAAAGAGCGUGUAGGCGGCCAGGCAGGUCUGCUGUGAAAACUCGAGGCUCAACCUCGAGACGUCGGCGGAAACCAUCUGGCUAGAGUCCGGAAGAGGAGAGUGGAAUUCCUGGUGUAGCGGUGAAAUGCGCAGAUAUCAGGAAGAACACCCGUGGCGAAGGCAGCUCUCUGGGACGGUACUGACGCUGAGACGCGAAAGCGUGGGGAGCGAACAGG